rfam:Erinaceus europaeus unplaced genomic scaffold scaffold01154, whole genome shotgun sequence
GUGCUAGCUUCAGAAGCACAUAUACUAAAAUUGGAAUGAUACAGAAAUUAGCGUGGCCCCUGUGCAAGGAUGACAUGCAAAUUUGUGAAUUGUUCCAUAUUAAA